rnacentral:rRNA from 1 species
GAUGAACGCUGGCGGCGUGCUUAACACAUGCAAGUCGAACGGGAUCCCAGGAGCUUGCUCCUGGGUGAGAGUGGCGAACGGGUGAGUAAUGCGUGACCGACCUGCCCCAUACACCGGAAUAGCUCCUGGAAACGGGUGGUAAUGCCGGAUGCUCCAGUUGGAUGCAUGUCCUUCUGGGAAAGAUUCUAUCGGUAUGGGAUGGGGUCGCGUCCUAUCAGCUUGACGGCGGGGUAACGGCCACCGAGCCUA